AGUGAACGCUGGCGGUAGGCCUAACACAUGCAAGUCGAACGGCAGCACAGUAAGAGCUUGCUCUUACGGGUGGCGAGUGGCGGACGGGUGAGGAAUACAUCGGAAUCUACUUUUUCGUGGGGGAUAACGUAGGGAAACUUACGCUAAUACCGCAUACGACCUACGGGUGAAAGCAGGGGAUCUUCGGACCUUGCGCGAUUGAAUGAGCCGAUGUCGGAUUGGCUAGUUGGCGGGGUAAAGGCCCACCAAGGCGACGAUCCGUAGCUGGUCUGAGAGGAUGAUCAGCCACACUGGAACUGGGACACGCUCCAGACUCCUACGGGAGGCAGCAGUGGGGAAUAUUGGACAAUGGGCGCAAGCCUGAUCCAGCCAUACCGCGUGGGUGGAAGAGGCCUUCGGGUUGUGAAGCCCUUUUGUUGGGAAAGAAAAGCAGCAGGUUAAUACCCCGCUGUUCUGACGGUACCCAAAGAAUAAGCACCGGCUAACUUCGUG
rnacentral:rRNA from 1 species